UCUGAGGAGCUAUCAAAAACUGCUUGCCAUCUUUCCAAAUCAUCUCUGUCUGCAGUGACCAUGUCUUAAUCCUGAAGGAAAACAACUUUUGGCAGUUGGGCCUGAAGCCCCAGAACUUAUGCUGGUCCUGGCACCAAUGAGGACAGAAAUGAUUGAGCACAUGAAUUUGGUGGAAAUUGAUUUUUACUUCUCUGCAGCUAAGUAUGUGGCAGUCUUGGCCACAUGGUGACUCAGCAGAGGAGCCUAUGUACUGGCUGUCCUGAUGCUCUUCCUGAUUCAACUGAUUCUCUACACUUGAUCUUAGCCAAAAGGCCGAGAAGCAAUGAUUCAACUGAUUCUCAAAAGGACACCGCUGCAGGAAUAAACCCACUUCUAAAUAUGGUACACUUGGAAAGUUGUCCAGCUCGCAAUGUCAGAGUCACAGACUUCAUGCACACUCAUCUCAAGUCAAUGUUAUCUAACACAUUUCCACUAAUUAUUGGAUGACACUAGCAAGAAACUCUGAUAUUUUUCACCUAACCUUUGCUAAUUUAAAUGUGGCCAGCCCACCCUCAUACUGCAUUGUGAUGGGGAUAUAAAAGCCAAUGAAAGAUAUCAUUAAUUGUUA
rnacentral:lncRNA from 1 species